rnacentral:rRNA from 1 species
AGGCCGCGACGGUGGUUGCCGCCUAUGGAGAAUCAUGCGAAAAUAAACACGGUUGCAGCAGUCGGGGGCCGGGGACGCUUUGGUGCAGUUGCAGCAAUCUGGCGAGAUGGAGAGGGAACAUUUGAAGGUGCGUCGGCAGUUGUAUACAGGACAAUUGGAGACCCAGCUACGCUUGAAGCCUUAGCCAUCAGAGAGGCCCUCUCCCUCGCUGAUGAUCUAUACCUCCAGAGAAUUCACGUGGCUUUGGAUUGCAGGGAAGCAGUGGAGGAGAUUUCCAGCGGUGGUGCUUCGAUCUAUGGUGCAGUUAUACAAGAGAUCAAGUUGCAUGCAUUGUCUUUUAUUUCUUGUAAGAUACUCCAUGAGUUUAGGAGCUCAAACUUUGAUGCUCACAACCUUGCGAAAUAUGCGUUGGGUCUCGGGCCUGGCCGCCAUGUUUGGUUAGGCCAGCCCGAGGGUAUUCCCUUCGUCCAUGUAAACAUCGUGACGGAUGAAUAA